GGCCUAACACAUGCAAGUCGAGCGGAUGAAGGGAGCUUGCUCCUGGAUUCAGCGGCGGACGGGUGAGUAAUGCCUAGGAAUCUGCCUGGUAGUGGGGGAUAACGUUCCGAAAGGAACGCUAAUACCGCGUACGUCCUACGGGAGAAAGCAGGGGACCUUCGGGCCUUGCGCUAUCAGAUGAGCCUAGGUCGGAUUAGCUAGUUGGUGAGGUAAUGGCUCACCAAGGCGACGAUCCGUAACUGGUCUGAGAGGAUGAUCAGUCACACUGGAACUGAGACACGGUCCAGACUCCUACGGGAGGCAGCAG
rnacentral:rRNA from 1 species